UCUGUUCCCUCUUGAGUAUGAACUUGUCAGGUAUCAACUCAGUCAUUUCUGUCUCUCUCUAGAGGGAACACCCUGAAAAACAUAGAGAAGGAGUGCAAUGCCAAGAUUAUGAUCCGGGGGAAAGGGUCUGUGAAAGAAGGGAAGGUUGGGCGCAAAGAUGGCCAGAUGUUGCCAGGAGAAGAUGAGCCACUUCAUGCCCUGGUCACUGCCAAUACAAUGGAGAACGUCAAAAAGGCAGUGGAACAGAUAAGAAACAUCCUGAAGCAGGGUAUCGAGACCCCAGAGGACCAGAAUGAUCUACGGAAGAUGCAGCUUCGGGAGUUGGCUCGCUUGAAUGGGACCCUUCGGGAAGACGACAACAGGAUCUUAAGACCCUGGCAGAGCUCAGAGACCCGCAGCAUUACCAACACCACAGUGUGUACCAAGUGUGGAGGGGCUGGCCACAUUGCUUCAGACUGUAAAUUCCAAAGGCCUGGUGAUCCUCAGUCAGCUCAGGAUAAAGCUCGGAUGGAUAAAGAAUAUUUGUCCCUCAUGGCUGAACUGGGUGAAGCACCUGUCCCAGCAUCUGUGGGCUCCACCUCUGGGC
rnacentral:sRNA from 1 species